rnacentral:rRNA from 1 species
CACGUAGGCGGGUCCUUAAGUCAGGGGUGAAAUCCUGGAGCUCAACUCCAGAACUGCCUUUGAUACUGAGGAUCUCGAGUUCGGGAGAGGUGAGUGGAAUUGCGAGUGUAGAGGUGAAAUUCGUAGAUAUUCGCAAGAACACCAGUGGCGAAGGCGGCUCACUGGCCCGGUACUGACGCUGAGGUGCGAAAGCGUGGGGAGCAGACAGGAUUAGAUACCCUGGUAGUCCACGCCGUAAACGAUGGAUGCCAGCCGUCAGACAGCUUGCUGUUUGGUGGCGCAGUUAACGCAUUAAGCAUCCCACCUGGGGAGUACGGUCGCAAGAUUAAA